AAUGAUCUUAGUCAUCUUUAU
rnacentral:miRNA from 1 species